rnacentral:rRNA from 1 species
CAAUAGCGUAUAUUAAAGUUGUUGCAGUUAAAAAGCUCGUAGUUGGAUUUGUGGCGUACGGUGUGUUCCGGGCACUUAUUGUCUGAGUAACCUGCUGUUGCCAUCCUUGGGUGGAACCUGUGUGGCAUUAGGUUGUCGUGCAGGGGAUGCCCAUCAUUUACUGUGAAAAAAUUAGAGUGUUCAAAGCAGGCUUAUGCCGUUGAAUAUAUUAGCAUGGAAUAAUGAGAUAGGACUUUUUUGCUAUUUUGUUGGUUUGCGCAAAGAGGUAAUGAUUAAUAGGGACAGUUGGGGGUAUUCGUAUUCCAUUGUCAGAGGUGAAAUUCUUGGAUUUUUGGAAGACGAACUACUGCGAAAGCAUUUACCAAGGAUGUUUUCAUUAA